rnacentral:lncRNA from 1 species
UAGUUACUGAUUCUAGGGAACAAUUGGGUAGAAAGAGAUGGACUCCCUGUGUUUGAAAUUCAGAACUCAAGCUUGGCUCUAAGUGUUUCCUUGCUUUGCUGUGCUCCAGGGGAGUCCUUGAGCAGAAGGAAGCAAGUUGCCUGAGAUUCUUCAAAGCCCGCAGCCCUUUUGGAUGUUAGAUGGUUAUUCUCAGAGCCUUUAUGAUGCAUAAUAAAGACCUAGCUUGGACCAAUAUUAGGAUGAGUUAUCUUGCUAUUAACAUUCUUUUAGGUAGAAGUUGCUGGUCCCAUCUUGCUCACAAUCCUCCAAAGUUUGAAAGUUAUUUUCCAGGAGACUUGGCUUGCACUGAGAGCUGCCCUCCCACCCUCUCUCCAAAUUUCCUCUUGGGGGUAGCCUAACAAGGUGCUGUCACAGACCCUUGUCAGCCACUAUGACCCCACCCAGACCAUCCCUCUGCUGUUUCACUCUUUGAUAGUCUCUGGAGCUCUCUGGGGAGGGGUGAGACCUGCCGUCUGGUUUGUAUGGUUUGCCCAGGUCUUACAGUCAUGGCUGGCUGCCUCUCUCUGAGAACUAGAACUCCUGAACUUGGUGAAAUACCUCAGCCAUCGAUCAUGUUGAAUUAUCGGGGACACUCAUUUAAAAUCCGAGCCCGUUCCAGAUAGACUCUCUCUCUUUCUGCCCUGACCGUGAGAGAAGCCCUGCUGGACGGUGGAGACACUCGUGGGCUGUGAGCAAGGGAUGCAAAGGCUGCCGGGAAUCCCAUCUUUCCAGCAUCAUCUGCCAAGGCACAUUAGUUCCUGGGUAUCUGGAUGGGUUCUAGCAGCAUUACUGUCAUUGAAGGAAAAAUUUUAGCCAUAUUAAAGGUUAAUGCAGCAAUCUCCACAUAGGCUGCCUGGAAGGGAAGCAGGACAAGGUUAGGUUUUCCUUGUGAUGGACAGGAGGCAGGCGGCCCUCCCACAGCCCUGCCUGGCAAUGCAGAUGUGUCCCCAAAAGGCACUGGGGGCCAGCUGGAGUGCUAUGCCGAGGCGGGCUCACCUGGGCUGCGGUUCGCUCUGAUUGCAGCGGUUUCCCACCAGCUCCUUGCAGAGCUGGCAGAUGGCCCAGCCCCACAGCAGGAGCCGGGAAUGGCAGAACGAGACACAACAAUUUGAUAUCCACUUGCCAGAUGAGCCGGGUGUCGUCAGUCGCCUGGCUCUGUGCCCAACCUCUUUUUGCAUAAACACUUAUGAAUUCAGCCAAGAGGAAAAGCACUCUGAUUAUGAAUUGAGCAGAAGGAAACAAAGUUCUGCAGAUAAACACCAAUGAAACAAAAAACCACGAAUAAGAAAAAUGACAGAAAAGGAGAACCUUCCCAGAAUCCUCCUGCCAGUGAACGGUCACCAGAGCAAGAGCAUAGAGUCCCUGGGUUUUGCACUGUGAGAUAAGGAAGAUGAUGAAAACCUCCCUAGCAGCCAG